UGACGUCAAGUCAUCAGGCCCUUACGACCAGGGCGUACACACGUGCUACAAUGGCGCAUACAAAGAGAAGCGACCUCGCGAGAGCAAGCGGACCUCAUAAAGGUGCGUCGUAGUCCGGAUUGGAGUCUGCAACUCGACUCCAUGAAGUCGGAAUCGCUAGUAAUCGUGGAUCAGAAUGCCACGGUGAAUACGUUCCCGGGCCUUGUACACACCGCCCGUCACACCAUGGGAGUGGGUUGCAAAAGAAGUAGGUAGCUUAACCUUCGGGAGGGCGCUUACCACUUUGUGAUUCAUGACUGGGGUGAAGUCGUAACAAGGUAACCGUAGGGGAACCUGCGGUUGGAUCACCUCCUUACCUUAAAGAAGC
rnacentral:rRNA from 1 species